AUACUUACCUGGCGCGGGGGAUACCGUGAUCAAGAAGGCGGUGCCUCCAGGACGAGGCCUGUACAUUGCACUCCGUAUGGGCUGACUCCUGCGACUACCCCCAAAUCGGGGUGGCUCGAGCGCAUAAUUUUUGGUAGUGGGGACAAGCGUUCGCGCUGUCCCUUU
rnacentral:snRNA from 14 species